GACGAACGCUGGCGGCGUGCUUAACACAUGCAAGUCGAACGGGUCUGCCCUGUUUUUUGCGGGGUGGGUCAGUGGCGAACGGGUGAGUAACACGUGAGUAACCUGCCCCUCACUUCUGGAUAACCGCUUGAAAGGGUGGCUAAUACGGGGUGUUCUGGCUGUGCCGCAUGGUGUGGCUGGGAAAGAUUCACUUUUGUGGUGUUUUGGUGGGGGAUGGGCUCGCGGCCUAUCAGCUUGUUGGUGGGGUGAUGGCCUGCCAAGGCUUUGACGGGUAGCCGGCCUGAGAGGGUGGGCGGUCACACUGGGACUGAGAGACGGCCCAGACUCCUGCGGGAGGCAGCAGUGGGGGGUAUUGCACAAUGGGCGGAAGCCUGAUGCAGCGACGUCGCGUGAGGGAUGGAGGCCGUCGGGUUGUGAACCUCUUUCGCCGGUGAAGAAGGUCCUGCUCUUUGGGGUGGGGUUGACGGUAGCCGGGUUAUGAAGCGCCGGCUAACUACGUG
rnacentral:rRNA from 1 species